AUUGAACGCUAGCGGGAUGCUUUACACAUGCAAGUCGAACGAGUGGCGGACGGGUGAGUAAUAUAUCGGAACGUGCCCAGUAGCGGGGGAUAACUACUCGAAAGAGUGGCUAAUACCGCAUACUAUUGUCGCGGCCGAUAUCGGUUUAGCUAGUUGGUGGGGUAAAGGCUCGCCAAGGCCACGAUCCGUAGCUGGUUUGAGAGGAUGACCAGCAACACUAGGACUGAUACACGGCCCAGACUCCUACGGGAGGCAGCAGUGGGGAAUUUUGGACAAUGGGGGAAACCCUGAUCCAGCCAUCCCGCGUGUAUGAGAAGGCCUUCGGGUUGUAAAGUACUUUUAGCAGAGAAGCGGUAUCUGCAGAAUAAGCACCGGCUAACUACGUGCCAGCCGCCGCGGUAAUUC
rnacentral:rRNA from 1 species